AGUGAACGCUGGCGGUAGGCCUAACACAUGCAAGUCGAACGGCAGCACAGUAAGAGCUUGCUCUUACGGGUGGCGAGUGGCGGACGGGUGAGGAAUACAUCGGAAUCUACUUUUUCGUGGGGGAUAACGUAGGGAAACUUACGCUAAUACCGCAUAUGACCUACGGGUGAAAGCAGGGGAUCUUCGGACCUUGCGCGAUUGAAUGAGCCGAUGACGGAUUAGCUAGUUGGCGGGGUAAAGGCCCACCAAGGCGACGAUCCGUAGCUGGUCUGAGAGGAUGAUCAGCCACACUGGAACUGAGACACGGUCCAGACUCCUACGGGAGGCAGCAGUGGGGAAUAUUGGACAAUGGGCGCAAGCCUGAUCCAGCCAUACCGCGUGGGUGAAGAAGGCCUUCGGGUUGUAAAGCCCUUUUGUUGGGAAAGAAAAGCAGCAGGUUAAUACCCCGCUGUUCUGACGGUACCCAAAGAAUAAGCACCGGCUAACUUCGUG
rnacentral:rRNA from 1 species